UCCGCCCGGCCUGCUGAGGAGGAGCUGUUGGCUGCUCACUGUUGCCGCGGAGGGGGAGGGGCUCCCGUAGCUGUUGCUCUGUGGAGCUGAGGCUUUCGGUCCGGCCACCUCUCUAGGAAACGCCGUGGCGCCGAGCAGGGCCUAACGCCGGGGGCCCGAGCAACGGGCCGGACAGGUUUACCCAUGUCCGUGACGUGUUGGCCGAGGCUUUGCGGCUGCUCCCGCCCUUGGAGCUGCCAGUCACUACCCUUUGGACUCCGUGAUCCCUGACAAACGUCAUGAGCAUUGCAAUCCCUCUGGGAGUCACUACACCAGAUACAUCUUAUUCAGAUAUGGCUGCUGGAUCUGACCCAGAGUCUGUCGAAGCUAGCCCAGCUGUUAGUGAGAAGAAUGUGUAUGCAAAUCACGGCUUACGGGGCCUCCCAGAGGCACAGCUACCGAGGGCUUGCCUU